rnacentral:rRNA from 1 species
UACAGAGGUCUCAAGCGUUGUUCGGAUUCAUUGGGCGUAAAGGGUGUGUAGGUGGCGCGUUAAGUCGGGCGUGAAAUUUCGGAGCUUAACUCCGAAACUGCAUUCGAUACUGGCGUGCUUGAGGACUGGAGAGGAGACUGGAAUUCAUGGUGUAGCAGUGAAAUGCGUAGAGAUCAUGAGGAACACCAGUGGCGAAGGCGGGUCUCUGGACAGUUCCUGACACUGAGACACGAAGGCCAGGGGAGCAAACAGG